GGGGCCUUGGCGCAACUGGUAGCGCACUGCGGUUGCAACGCAGGGUUGCGGUUUCGAAUCCCGCAGGCCCCA
rnacentral:tRNA from 1 species